UACGUAGGUGGCGAGCGUUGUCCGGAAUUACUGGGCGUAAAGGGUGCGUAGGCGGGGACUUAAGUCAGAUGUGAAAUUCCGGGGCUCAACUUCGGAAUUGCAUUUGAAACUGGGUUUCUAGAGUGCAGGAGAGGGAAGCGGAAUUCCUAGUGUAGCGGUGAAAUGCGUAGAUAUUAGGAAGAACACCAGUGGCGAAGGCGGCUUUCUGGACUGUAACUGACGCUGAGGCACGAAAGCGUGGGGAG
rnacentral:rRNA from 1 species